rnacentral:rRNA from 1 species
UACGGGGGGUGCGAGCGUUGUCCGGAAUCACUGGGCGUAAAGGGCGCGUAGGUGGCUUUGUAAGUUUGCGGUGAAAGCCCGGGGCUCAACCCCGGGUCUGCCGUGGAUACUGCAAGGCUUGAGUACUGUAGAGGCAGGUAGAAUUUCGGGUGUAGCGGUGGAAUGCGUAGAGAUCCGAUAGAAGACCGGUGGCGAAGGCGGCCUGCUGGGCAGUAACUGACACUGAGGCGCGACAGCGUGGGGAGCAAACAGG